GGCGAGUAGGAAUCACUCCAAAAAAUAUGGAUAUUUCAAGUGUUUGGAUGUUUACCUCCAAUCAACAAACCAAGGACAAACCUAGUCUGAAGUGCUAUCAGACAAAUCAGAAAUAUGUUUCCCACUGAGAAAUUGCAUGGUCAAGAUUUAUUGUACAAGAUAGUGCCGUGAUUUUUCUGGAAACCUCAGCUGGCUCAGCCAUUUAACCAGCCAACCGCAUAUGAAUAAGAUGACGGUAAUGGUCUACAUAGGACUUUUCGUCUUGGGAACGUCCAAAGUAGAUGUGAAG